rnacentral:rRNA from 1 species
UACAGAGGUCCCAAGCGUUGUUCGGAUUCACUGGGCGUAAAGGGUGCGUAGGCGGUCGGGUAAGUCUGAUGUGAAAUCUCCAAGCCUAACUUGGAAACUGCAUUGGAUACUAUCCGGCUAGAGGAAUGGAGGGGAGACUGGAAUACUUGGUGUAGCAGUGAAAUGCGUAGAUAUCAAGUGGAACACCAGUGGUCGAAGGCGAGUCUCUGGACAUUUCCUGACGCUGAGGCACGAAAGCCAGGGGAGCAAACGGG